rnacentral:lncRNA from 1 species
GCCAGUGCCAGAGGCAGGUCAACGAACGAAUUCGUCAGUUUUUUCACUUCGCUCUCGCCCGCUGUUGAACUUGAUUCACAUUUUUAAAUAGCCAAUUACAUUUUUAUCAACGCUGCCAUGCCAUGCUUGGCUUCAAGUUCAUGCGUUCGAGGUCGAAAUCAUUUGCUCGUUUGUAAUGGAAUAUUAUAAUGUUUAUUAUAAAUGUGUUGUAAAUUAUUUGCAUUAAAACAGGAAGAGAAAUUUAAGCUAUAAGUCAACGAACUACCUAUUUUACUCGCAUCUAACCUCUCGUUGUAAAUCUCCCGAAGAUCAUCCAUUAAAAUUAACAACCGAGUUGACAAAACGAAGGGACAUUUGGAAAACUGUCUUUCUUAACUGGAGUCCAUUAGAAGGUACUAAAUAUCUAUCCGUCCGUCCAAUGGAGUGUUACAGAUAUUCAAUUUGUUUAUCCCAGACAUCUUUUUUCCCACAUCAUUAGCAAGGCUCACUCCGUAUUCUGAAGAUAUUCUAUGGCAGGGGACUACCAAUGUGGCUUUCGUGUUGGAAGGUCAACAUUAGAUCAAAUAUUUACGAUUCGACAAAUAUUAGAAAAAAACUGGGAAUUCAACCGAGAUGUACACCAAGUUUUCGUACAUUUCCAGCAAGCAUAUGAUUUGAUAAAAAGAAGCAGACUAUGGCUAGCAACGUUAGAAAUAGGAAUACCAAGAAAUUUAAAUUUAGCUAACUGAAACGUGUGUGACAGACUCAUAUGCACAGGUAAGAAUAAGAAACAGAACAUCGAUACCAUUUAGUAUGACAUCAGGACUUAGACAAGGAGACCCCUUAUUAGCUUUGCCAUUCAAUUUGGUCUUAGAAUAUGCAAUAAGUAACGUAUUAUAUCCAAGCUGCGAAUCGAGGAUCAAAACUAGUGUUGGCCUUUACUGAUGAUCUAAAUGCAGUUGCUCAUUUUACAAGAGACGCAAGAGAAGUGUUUCCGAACUCGAGGAAGAAACAGAUAGUCUGAGCCUUUGAAUAAAUGAAGAGAAGACGAAAUACAUGCUGGUAACCAAAAAUCCAAGACUAAGAAAUAGGCUUACUAUUAACUAUUAAUGGUCAUAACUAGUAGUGGAAGAAGAUAACCACAACUACAAGAAGUAGUAGAAGUAGAGAAUUAGUAAUAGCUAUUUGUAUAACA